ACGAACGCUGGCGGCGUGCCUAAUACAUGCAAGUAGAACGCUGAAGAGAGGAGCUUGCUCUUCUUGGAUGAGUUGCGAACGGGUGAGUAACGCGUAGGUAACCUGCCUGGUAGCGGGGGAUAACUAUUGGAAACGAUAGCUAAUACCGCAUAAAAUGGAUUAUCGCAUGAUAAUCCAUUGAAAGGUGCAAAUGCAUCACUACCAGAUGGACCUGCGUUGUAUUAGCUAGUUGGUGGGGUAACGGCUCACCAAGGCGACGAUACAUAGCCGACCUGAGAGGGUGAUCGGCCACACUGGGACUGAGACACGGCCCAGACUCCUACGGGAGGCAGCAGUAGGGAAUCUUCGGCAAUGGACGGAAGUCUGACCGAGCAACGCCGCGUGAGUGAAGAAGGUUGUCGGAUCGUAAAGCUCUGUUGUAAGAGAAGAACGAGUGUGAGAGUGGAAAGUUCACACUGUGACGGUAUCUUACCAGAAAGGGACGGCUAACUACGUG
rnacentral:rRNA from 1 species